rnacentral:rRNA from 1 species
AUUGAACGCUGGCGGCAGGCUUAACACAUGCAAGUCGAGCGGAGAUGAGGUGCUUGCACCUUAUCUUAGCGGCGGACGGGUGAGUAAUGCUUAGGAAUCUGCCUAUUAGUGGGGGACAACAUUCCGAAAGGAAUGCUAAUACCGCAUACGUCCUACGGGAGAAAGCAGGGGAUCUUCGGACCUUGCGCUGAUAGAUGAGCCUAAGCCGGAUUAGCUAGUUGGUGGGGUAAAGGCCUACCAAGGCGACGAUCUGUAGCGGGUCGGAGAGGAUGAUCCGCCACACUGGGACUGAGACACGGCCCAGACUCCUACGGGAGGCAGCAGUGGGGAAUAUUGGACAAUGGGGGGAACCCUGAUCCAGCCAUGCCGCGUGUGUGAAGAAGGCCUUAUGGUUGUAAAGCACUUUAAGCGAGGAGGAGGCUACUGAGACUAAUACUCUUGGAUAGUGGACGUUACUCGCAGAAUAAGCACCGGCUAACUCUGUGCCAGCCGCCGCGGUAAUAC